rnacentral:tRNA from 1 species
UGAGACUUAGCUCAGUGGUAGAGCUGGUGUUCUGAAAGCAUGUGGUCCCAGGUUCAAUUCCUGGGGUCUUUA